rnacentral:rRNA from 1 species
AUUGAACGCUGGCGGCAGGCCUAACACAUGCAGGUCGAGCGGAUGAGGAAAGCUUGCUUUUCGAUUCAGCGGCGGACGGGUGAGUAAUGCCUAGGAAUCUGCCUGUUAGUGGGGGAUAACUCGGGGAAACUCGGGCUAAUACCGCAUACGUCCUACGGGAGAAAGUGGGGGAUCUUCGGACCUCACGCUAACAGAUGAGCCUAGGUCGGAUUAGCUAGUAGGUGAGGUAAUGGCUCACCUAGGCGACGAUCCGUAACUGGUCUGAGAGGAUGAUCAGUCACACUGGAACUGAGACACGGUCCAGACUCCUACGGGAGGCAGCAGUGGGGAAUAUUGGACAAUGGGCGAAAGCCUGAUCCAGCCAUGCCGCGUGUGUGAAGAAGGUCUUCGGAUUGUAAAGCACUUUAAGUUGGGAGGAAGGGUAUUCACCUAAUACGUGGGUACUUUGACAUUACCAACAGAAUAAGCACCGGCUAACUCUGUGCCAGCCGCCGCCGUAAAAC